UACGGAGGGUGCGAGCGUUGUUCGGAAUCACUGGGCGUAAAGCGCGUGUAGGCGGCCCACUAAGUCUGAUGUGAAAGCCCGGGGCUCACCCCCGGAAGUGCAUUGGAAACUGGUGGACUCGAGUCCCGGAGAGGAGAGUGGAAUUCCUGGUGUAGUGGUGAAAUACGUAGAUAUCUGGAGGAAUACCGGUGGCGAAGGCGGCUAUCUGGCCAUGUACUGACGCUGAGACACGAAAGCGUGGGGAGCAAACAGG
rnacentral:rRNA from 1 species